rnacentral:rRNA from 1 species
CCUACGGGUGGCAGCAGUGGGGAAUAUUGGGCAAUGGGCGCAAGCCUGACCCAGCAACGCCGCGUGAAGGAAGAAGGCUUUCGGGUUGUAAACUUCUUUUGAGAGGGAAGAGAAGAAGACGGUACCUGUCGAAUAAGCCACGGCUCACUACGUGCCAGCAGCCGCGGUAAUACGUAGGUGGCAAGCGUUUUCCGGAUUUACUGGGUGUAAAGGGCGUGUAGCCGGGCUUAUAAGUCAGAUGUGAAAUCCGGGGGCUUAACCCCCGAACUGCAUUUGAAACUGUUGGUCUUGAGUAUCGGAGAGGUAGGCGGAAUUCCUGGUGUAGCGGUGAAAUGCGUAGAUAUUAGGAGGAACACGAGUGGCGAAGGCGGCCUGCUGGACGACUACUGACGGUGAGGCGCGAAAGCGUGGGGAGCAAACAGGAUUAGAUACCCUUGUAGUC